ACCCUCUUCUCCUCCUCACUAUCCUCCUUUUCUUUCCUCCCUCCUCCUCCUUUCCCCUCCUCUUCUUCCUCCUCACAGGUAACCCCUCCUUCCCUUCUUCCUGAUCUAUGUCUCCUCCUCCUAGCGGUCCAUAAGCCUUUUAUUUUCAUGACGGCUCCUUCUACUUUCAUCCUUUCCUCACUGGUAACCCUUUCUUCUCCUCAUCUACUUCUUCUCCUCAUCUUCCUCCUCCAAACCUGCUCAUGAGCCCUCCCCCCACCUCCACCUAUUCCUCACCAAUGAUCCUUCUUUUUUCCUUCUCUCCUU
rnacentral:lncRNA from 1 species